UACACUCCUGCGGGAGGCAGCAGUGAGGAAUAUUGGACAAUGGGUGGAAGCCUGAUCCAGCCAUCCCGCGUGCAGGAAGACGGCCCUAUGGGUUGUAAACUGCUUUUAUCUGGGGAUAAACCUACUUACGUGUAAGUAGCUGAAGGUACCAGAAGAAUAAGCACCGGCUAACUCCGUGCCAGCAGCCGCGGUAAUACGGAGGGUGCAAGCGUUAUCCGGAUUUAUUGGGUUUAAAGGGUCCGUAGGCGGACUGAUAAGUCAGUGGUGAAAUCCGACAGCUUAACUGUCGAACUGCCAUUGAUACUGUUAGUCUUGAGUAAGGUUGAAGUGGCUGGAAUAAGUAGUGUAGCGGUGAAAUGCAUAGAUAUUACUUAGAACACCAAUUGCGAAGGCAGGUCACUAAGUCUUAACUGACGCUGAUGGACGAAAGCGUGGGGAGCGAACAGGAUUAGAAACCCUUGUAGUCCCA
rnacentral:rRNA from 1 species